rnacentral:rRNA from 1 species
AUGGAAAUACUUACUCUACUUUGCUGCAUCACCCUUUCCUCUUCAAGGGAAAACCAACACAGUGCUCAAGAGGUAGCAAGAAGGAUUUCUGUCACCGUUGCCGGGGAGAUCUACGCACAAGUCAAGACAUACCAAGUACCCAUCACAAACUCUUAUCCCUUGCAUUACAUUAUGUGCCAUUUGCCUCUCGUUUUCCUCUCCCCCACUUCACCCUUGCCAUUUUAUUCAUCCUCUUUUUCCGUUCCCCUUCUCUUUUCUAGUUCGUCUAUUUUCUUUUUGCCUCUUGUGUGCUUGUGCGUUGGGUUGUUUGCCGUGAUGGCUUUACCAAAAUAUGUUGGAUCCUCACCUUAG